AUUGAACGCUGGCGGCAUGCCUUACACAUGCAAGUCGAACGGUAACAGGUCUUCGGAUGCUGACGAGUGGCGAACGGGUGAGUAUACAUCGGAACGUGCCCGAUCGUGGGGGAUAACGAAGCGAAAGCUUUGCUAAUACCGCAUACGAUCUACGGAUGAAAGCAGGGGACCGCAAGGCCUUGCGCGAACGGAGCGGCCGAUGGCAGAUUAGGUAGUUGGUGGGAUAAAAGCUUACCAAGCCGACGAUCUGUAGCUGGUCUGAGAGGACGACCAGCCACACUGGGACUGAGACACGGCCCAGACUCCUACGGGAGGCAGCAGUGGGGAAUUUUGGACAAUGGGCGAAAGCCUGAUCCAGCCAUGCCGCGUGCAGGAUGAAGGCCUUCGGGUUGUAAACUGCUUUUGUACGGAACGAAAAGACUCUGGUUAAUACCUGGGGUCCAUGACGGUACCGUAAGAAUAAGCACCGGCUAACUACGUG
rnacentral:rRNA from 1 species